GACGAACGCUGGCGGCGUGCUUAACACAUGCAAGUCGAACGGAAAGGCCCUGCUUUUGUGGGGUGCUCGAGUGGCGAACGGGUGAGUAACACGUGAGUAACCUGCCCUUGACUUUGGGAUAACUUCAGGAAACUGGGGCUAAUACCGGAUAGGAGCUCCUGCUGCAUGGUGGGGGUUGGAAAGUUUCGGCGGUUGGGGAUGGACUCGCGGCUUAUCAGCUUGUUGGUGGGGUAGUGGCUUACCAAGGCUUUGACGGGUAGCCGGCCUGAGAGGGUGACCGGCCAGAUUGGGACAGCGAUACGGCCCAGACUCCUACGGGAGGCAGCAGUGGGGAAUAUUGCACAAUGGGCGGAAGCCUGAUGCAGCAACGCCGCGUGCGGGAUGACGGCCUUCGGGUUGUAAACCGCUUUCGCCUGUGACGAAGCGUGAGUGACGGUAAUGGGUAAAGAAGCACCGGCUAACUACGUG
rnacentral:rRNA from 1 species